UGGGCUGGGGCUCAGUGGUUAGAGUGCUCGCCUAGCAUGUGUGAGGCACUGGGUUCAAUUCUCAGCACCACAU
rnacentral:tRNA from 1 species